UACGAAGGGGGCUAGCGUUGCUCGGAAUUACUGGGCGUAAAGGGAGCGUAGGCGGGUCGACAAGUUGGAGGUGAAAGCCCAGGGCUCAACCUUGGAAUUGCCUUCAAAACUGUCGAUCUUGAGUAUGGGAGAGGUAAGCGGAACUCCGAGUGUAGAGGUGAAAUUCGUAGAUAUUCGGAAGAACACCAGUGGCGAAGGCGGCUCACUGGCCCGGUACUGACGCUGAGGUGCGAAAGCGUGGGGAGCAAACAGG
rnacentral:rRNA from 1 species